GGAGGGUGGUGCACCCAGGGAUGGCAUGGGACCUUUGCACCCCUUCCUUCAUACCUCUCCCUAUGCAUCUCUUCACCUGUAUCCUUUCUAAUAUUCUUCAUACUAAACAGCAUUCAACUCCCCCAGAGGAUGCAGCAUCAAAGUGCCAACUUGCAAGCAGUGAGAAGCUCUUAAAAGACAGCUGAACCUGCAGCUCCUUGAUCUUGGACUUUCUGUCCUCCAGAACUGAAAUUUGGUGCUAAGUCUAGUGAGUUGGACAUGGCCAUUCGAUGGAGGCUCCCAAGAACAAUGAAGUCAGGCAUCUAUUCUUUCUCUCACUGUGACUGUGAUGACCUGGCCGAGGCAAACACUUUCAGGUAGGUGCUCAGAAGAGACUUUAAAAUGAGACGGCAGAUUUUACUUUUAGAAAUAUGAACAAAGAACUGAAUAAGAUGCUAAAAUAAGAGAUAAAUUAUGCAAAUGCCUAUAAUAAUGAACA
rnacentral:lncRNA from 1 species